rnacentral:lncRNA from 1 species
UGAAGCUUUCAAAUUUUUUUUUUUAUGUGUCAAAGAAAGUAAUAAUGGGACAGUAAAACCGAGAAUAUUUAUGUCUGACAUGGCUGAGGCCUACUAUAAUGCCUGGGUGGAAGUUAUGUGCCCGGCAGAAUAUAGACUUUUUUGUAUGUGGCAUGUUGACAGGGCUUGGAGGAAGAAUUUAGAAAAAAUUGCAGAUAAACAGAAAAAGGUCCUUGUUUACCGAAUGCUGCGAAUACUACUCCAAGAGCUAGAUGAAUUUACUUUUAACAAACUUUUGCAAAAUUUUCUACAAUAUUGUUCAGAAAAUCCAGAGAUUGUUGAGUUUGGAAAAUACUUUAGUGAUUUCUAUAUAAGCAAAGUUAAACAAUGGGCCUAUUGCUACAGGCUACAUUGUGGAUUAAACACCAACAUGCAUAUAGAACGCGUGCAUAGGACCUUAAAACAUUUAUAUUUAAAUGGAAAAUUUAUCAAACGUCUUGAUAAGGCCAUUAGUGCCAUUAUGAAAUUUGUCAGGGAUAGAAUAUUUGAGAGGUUGAUCGUUGUUUAUAAAGGAAAAGUUUGUACUAAAUUAACAGAUCUAUGUCACAGGCAUAAAGAAAGUUUAACUAUGGAUUUGAAAAAAAUUGUUCAAUCUAAUGGAAGUUGGUUAGUACCAUCAUCCUCUAGCAAGGAAAUUUACAGUGUAGAGGAAGUAAAAUCUUUAUGUACCUGCAAUUUGUUAUGCAAUGAAUGCUCAGCUUGCAUCCAUAAAUACUGUUAUAUAUGUAUACUCCAUGUAUAAAUAUGUUUAGACUGUAGUAUUAAAUGGAAUAUGUGCAAGCACAUUCAUUUAGUAUGAAAAUUUGUGCAGCAGUAUCCACCAUUGUAUACGACACCACGUAUCUUAUUGAUACGUCAACGAUCAACCACGUAUCUUAUUGAUAAAGAAGCAGAAGAUAUAUUGGCAGGUUCAGGUAAUCUCAUUAUUGACAUCAAUGAAAAGGAUCAAGAGGCAUUAAAUCUGAUAUCGUCACUUAGUACUCCUAGUUCCAUGCAGCACACUGAUGAAAGUAAUUUAAUUGAGGAAGAACAGAAAAUUUUACAAUUCAUUCAAGAAACCCUUGCAAAUAUUGAUUCACCUGAAGAAAUUGACUGCAUUAAAAAAAUAAUAGCACCAAUAAAACCAACCCUUGAAGCUAUCAAGAAUCAAAAAUUUAUAGGAAUGCCUUUAGUGCCCUCAGCAAAGAAUAUAUCAAUUAAUAAAAAUAUAGAGCCUCAAAUGCGUUUGUUCGCAACAAAAAAAGAUUAAAGAAAUAAUGUCAAAACUCUCAAAAAACAUGUGGCAAUUUAGCUUUACAAAUGAUUAAUAAAGACUUUAGCAAUUAGAUGAUAAAUUAGAUGAAUGUCCUUGCAGAUUGUAUUUUUUUUAAAUCACUCCUUUUUUACCUAAUUUCAUUAUUUCGCUCUACUGAAAAGUUAGUAAAAAAAAGUAAACAUCGAGAUGAGGUAUAGUUACUUUCGUGACGAAUUGAGAACUAAAAAUGUACCUUUUCUCUUUAUCUGAUUCUUUUUUAACUUGAUUACAUCGGAAUAUUU